GACGAACGCUGGCGGCGUGCCUAAUACAUGCAAGUCGAACGCAGUGGGAACGGGUGAGUAACACGUGGGUAACCUCCCAUCAGAGUGGAUAACACUUGGAAACAGGUGCUAAACCGAUACUGAUGGAUGUACCCGCGGUGCAUUCGCGAGUUGGUGAGGUAACGGCUUACCAAGGCCACGAUGCAUAGACGGCCGGAGAGGGUGACCUGCCACACUGGGACUGAGACACGGCCCAGAAUCCUAAGGGAGGAACCAGUAUGGAAUAUUCGGACAUGGACGAAAGUCUGAUGCAGCAACGCCGCGUGAUGGAAGAAGGUUUUCGGGUCGUAAAGCACUGUCGGUAGAGAAGCGGUAUUUAACCAGAAAGCAACGGCUAACUACGUGCCAGCAGCCGCGGUAAUAC
rnacentral:rRNA from 1 species